AUGGACAUGAGGGACUAUGCUCAGCUUCUGGGGCUUCUGCUGCUCUGGCUCCAAGGUGCCAGAUGUGACAUCCAGAUGACUCAGAUUCCGACUUCCUUGCCUAUUUCUGUGGAAGACACAGUCACCAUCACUUGCAAGGCCAAUGAAGACAUUGGCUACCUUUUGUACUGGUUCCAACAGAAACCAGGGAAAGUUCCUAAAUGGCUGAUCUAUGCAGCAAACAGUUUGAAAUCCGGGGUUCCAUUGAGGUUCAGUGGCACUAAAUCAGGGGUAGAUUACACUCUCACUAUCAACAGCCUGGAGCCUGAAGAUGUUGUGAAUUAUUACUGUCUACAAGGUUAUGAUACUCCUCCCGUGGUGAUGCAAGCCAUAAUAAAACCACCAGGGAAAGCAGAAGUGUGA